rnacentral:ncRNA from 1 species
GUGCUCAUUGAAAUGAGAGACAGUUGGCAUCUCCCGUGACAGGGACAGGAACAGCUGACAAGCUUACCUGUUAGCACAUAUCUAGAGAUUCUAGACUUGUAUAGCUCCAUUUACUUCU